AAGCCUGAGGCUUCAUGAAACAUAGGAGACAUUUUAAGAUGUGGAAAAGAGACUUUAUUUCUUUUGGACAGAAGCUAUAUGAUGGUGACACCAGUGAUUUCUUUCCCGGCCAAGCGUGCUGCGAUGGGCUAACAAGACCAUCUGAGCGAGUCCACGUCUGAGUCAGAAACGUGCGUGAUGGAGAAGCGGGAGACGGUGAAGCGAGAAAACUGCACCUCCGGCUUGGUCUCCUGAGCUUUGGCAGGGGCGGCGGCGGCGCGGGCGGGCGAAUCCGAGCCGGCCGACGACGUCGGCAGCGGAAGCAGCGGGAAGUCGUCCUCCCACUCCAAGCCUGCACCUGACACAGGGGCGGCGCUGUUGAGCACACUGAGAUGUCUCACGUUGGUGCUCAAGCUGCGGGUUCUUGUACUCACUCUCCUCGGAGAUGUUCCCAUCUGAUGAAUCAUCUGAGACCCUUUCAGGAGAUUUGAUGCGAUCUUCUGCGGCCAGCGGGAAUCCGUGCGCAGCCAGAUCUUUAGUGGGACUCUCCUGGAAGAACAAGAGGAAACAAAGUUUGGAAUAUUUUUAUCCGUAACCUCGGAUGUUCCCGGCGCUAAACGAGGCUGACCUGAUCAAACAGGUAGACCGUGACAUCAUCAAAGAAGGACACCGUCCUCUUCUUGCGUUCCAGUUCCUCCUGGAGAUUGAGCAGCGUCGGCGUUUUGAGAAGACCUCGUAGUUUAUGGGCGUGGCUAUCAUCGCUCACCACCACGGGCACCACGUGGGAUUCUUCUUCGCUCUCCUCUUCCUCCUGGACGCUGUAGGGCCGCAGCUCCUCGUCUGACUCGUCGCUGUCGUCAGAGUCGGCGUCCUCCUUGAGCGCCUCAUCAUCAUCUGAAGGAGUUGGAGGCGGAGAAGAAGACGAAGAUAACCUUCUCGUGAUGGCCGCCUGCUGCAACGCCACCUCGUCUUUGGGUUGCUCGUUGAGGGCAUCAAGAGCCUCCUCCAUGGCUCCAACCACCUCGGCGGCCCAAUCUCCAAGAGAUGAGCUCUCGUCCUGGGACGGCCACUCGUCCAGACCACCUGAAGCAUCCAACAAGUCAUCGUGGUCGCAGUGAGGUUGCUCCUCCUCAUUCCUGGACUGACGUUCAUUCUCGUAGUCGGAGAAGUAGGCGGAGUCCCUGUAUGGCGUUUCCUGACUCAGUGGCAGCAAGGUGUGGUCACAUGACCGGCAGUCGUCACAGGAUGUCCCCUCUGGUGACAUCCUGUCCCCCUCCCCUGCCUCGUCCUCCUCCAGACUGGUUAGCUGCGGUGCAGCCUGGUCUCUGGAUUCAUGAGGUUCUUUCAGGACAAACUCUGGGCUCUCGUUGUUCUCAGUGUCAUAGCCGCUGUCCAUGGCUUUGGGGGAGCAGGAAGGGCGGCACCCGGGGCUGGAGCCCUCACAUGACCCGGCUACAGAAGGUAGGUCCAUGGACUCCAUGGAAUCCGGCGUUCCCACCUGCUUCUGUAGCGACUUGAUGGCAGGAGAAGCAUCUUCUGGAAAGAUGCCUGAAGUGAUAUCGGUGAUGUCAUCUGUGAUGUCAUCGUCUUCGUUGUCGCUGCAGUCCAGGAUGUCCGUGAGGCUCAUGCUGGACCCGCCUCGAUCCAGGCCGCUGUCUCCUGUUUGGCUCUUCUCUGAUGCUGGAUCUGUGAGUACCAUCAUCACAUGGAUGCUUGCGGGGGGCGGAGAACUUUGGGUCACGUCUUCUAGUCUUGUAGACUUUGUCGCCGGUAGAUCUUCUCUGAUGACAUCUUCUUUGGUGUCCUUGGAAGGAGCUUCAUCGGUUCUGUGAUCUUUUUCUCCACCUUCAGGCUUCAUGAAGGCGGCUUUGGGGACAGCUGGACCUCCAGGUGCUGGAGAUAGGUUGAUGAUCUCGUCGUUGCUCGGGAUAUCGACGGCUUUGUCGCUGAUGUAGUCGCCGCGAGCGUAGCCGUAGUUGCUGACCAGCAAACCGGUGAGCGGGUCUACAAAGUGCGGGUGGCAGCACUCUCGAGGCGGCGGCGCCACCUGGGGGUCGAUCUGGUGACACAAGUAGACGAACGCGUCACAGCCUUCCGAGGGUGCGGUCACAUGAUGUCCGCUCAGACAGCCGCUGUCUUUAGCCUGGUGGCGCUCCAGGUAGCCGCCAGUUCUGGGAAGACUCUGGAAUGCCAGGCUACGUUCCUCGGGCCAGGAAUCUUCGAUGUCCGUGCUCGGCAUUGUGUAAUGGAAGUCCACGUAGGCGUCCUGUCUGCAGCUCUGGCUCGAUCGUCUUUGAUGAGCGGCGCUUCUGUGGCGAUGCUUGGAAGGCCAAGUGUUGCAUGUGUGCCUCUCCAGGAAUAUGUCCUCUUCCUCUUCGGAAUCGCUCUCCCGCCGCCCGAUGAAGAGCGCACCUUCUGUCUCCAAGUCGAUGUUCACUGAGCGGACGUCGUGUCUGUGGCUCGGCAUGGUCUUCCUCAAGGAGCCCAUCAUGUCGUAGUAGCCUCCUGUUACCGUUUUACCCAGAAUGGAGGUCUGAGUCGUGUCCAGGUAUGAGUCCGUGUAGGCCUCUUCGGGGGCACUGGGAAACGAGGCGGUUAUUCCGACUGGAGUCUCCAACUCGCCCAAUGCCUGGCGAAGGCUCCUUGACCCCCAACUUUCAUGAAGGUGCUCAUUGGACAGCUGGUCCCCCAUGAGAUAGUGGUCCAUCGCUACUGGAGAUGAGUGUUCAUAGUAGUAACCUCCAUCCCGGUCUUUGUAGGACACGUAGUGACUGGACUCCCACGGCCGUAGAGGACUGCUGUCGGACACCCGCCCUAAAAGGGGCUCCAUUGUCAAAGAGAUUGCGGGACUUGACUCGUUUGAGUCGUAGACGUCGGCUUUGUGGAUGUCUUGUGCUGACCAGUAGGGGUCCAAGUUCUUAGCCUGACCUGGGCACACCAUGAAUUCAUCGGAGUCCGCGCUCCCGGUAAGGAAGCUGCCGCUGCUUCCCGGGUAUUCCGGACUGUAGGAGCACAUGGUGUACUCCGGUUUCAUGUUACAGUCUACUGGUUCUUCGAUUCGGAUGUAGUAUUCGCUGUUGACCGACGGGCUGUGGCCGCUGAAGACAGGAAGUACGCUGGGAGCAUGCAGAUGUUGGGAUUGGUAGUACGGAGGAGAAGCUUCAUGAUUGAGGCAGCCUCCCACAAUUCCCACCGGUGGAUAAAACGGUUCUUGUUGACUGAGUCCGCUUGACGGGUCCGGAUCUCUGUAAGUCUGCUCCGCUCUGGCGUGCUCCCACCUGUACUCAAAGUUGAGUCCGUGGCUGGUCUCGGUGACCGUUAAGACGUCAUCCCCGGACUCUGUGUGGUACCCGUCAGUGGAUGAGAACUGGUCCAACAGAGGAAACGAGGCGGCGGCGGAUGACGGCUGCUCCAAUGCCAUUGGGGAACCAUGACGGAUCGUGUGUCCGGCACUGGGCCGCAUGGAGUUCCAGCGCCUCUCAAAGUCCUCCUUGGCUUCAUUGGCCCCCUUAGCACACAAGUAGCUCAGCAGCAAGUGGACUUCCUCGGCAUUGGGUCUCUGCUCAGGCGGAAGCCAGCAGAACUGCAUCACCUCGUACCUGAAGAGGGAUCGUGAGAUCGGUGAAGACUUUGACAGGAAGCUAAGACUGAAGAACGUCACGUGUCUCACCAGCGUUCCGCCAGAGGAACGUUGAGCAUCGGUUUGGCGAGUCGCAGCUGCUGCUCCCUCACAGCGUAGGCCAGAACUUGGCGGUCAGAGUAGUGGCUGUAGGGCUGGUUUCCCAGCUCCAACAAUUCCCAGAUGGUUACUCCCAGAGACCUGUCACACGGGGGACGAUGGUAUCAGGAUGACGGAUCUUCUUACACUCUGACACCUGAAGAUCCUACCAGAUGUUACUCUGUUGGGUCUGCUCUGCCACCAGCAGGUUCCCGUGCACCUCAUCCACCAGCUCAGGAGCGAUCCAGCGCAGAGGCACGUAUGUCUGGUCACAAGUCACAAAGUAGUCAUCCUGGUGGGAAGGAGAACAUCGUUGUGAGACGGUUCCUCAAGGAUGGACUCACUGAGAAGCUCAAAGGUGCAGCAGUCCCGAGGCGACGUCACACGCCAUUCGCUGGAGAAGUAGCGGCUCCAGAACGACGCUCUCCGCAGAUCUGCUGCUGCGCAGGUAACCCUUCACAUCGCCCUGGCAACGCAAAGGAAGCUCAUACGUCCUACAAGCUUUCACACCAGGUUUGGAGCGGAAGUAGAGGACUUGGAAGUCCACUCACCAGGGGACAAAACUCCAUGACCAGCAGGUAGGGCGUGACCUCCGUGUACUGGGCCAGGCACUGCAGCAGAGACGAGUGCUGCAGGACUCUAGGGGGCGAGCGGCGUGGGGGGACACGGCCGAGGACAGGAGGUGUCAAGAGUGUCUUCACCCACGUAAAGCGUUGAUGAGAAAAAACGUGUGAGUACCGGUAAGGUUGUACUUCUUCCAGGAAGCGCAUCUGCUCCUUGACGCUGGCGCUGGACUUCAGCUCCUUGACCACCACCUGACUGCUCCUCAGGUUCUCAUUGACCUCCCCCAGAAGAACCUACAAGAUGGCCACAUGGACACACAUAGCACCACACACGAGGCAGUUUGAGGUGGAGGGGGGGGUGGUGGACGAGAAGGAAGACGGGAUGAUGGACAUACCAAGUCGUGGCAGACACAGGUGGAAGAUGAUGGUGGAAAACCAGGAAGAGGAUGAAGAGAAGAAGAUGGUAAACAUUCAAGUCUAAGAGAUGAGACUUCUGGACGACAAGACGGCAGAUGCAUCACAAGAAAGUUCUGGGGGGUCAGAGGUCAGCUUACCUUCCCAAACCAGCCAUUCCCGAUCUCCUUCAGGUAGAGGAGACUAUGGCGGCUCACGUUGGAGGACUUCCUGAGUUGGACUGUCGGAGAAGAAGUGAUAAAUAAUCAGGAAGCGUCCCGGAAUGGUCGUGGACGUUCCCGAGGACAAGGACUGAACAAAACACCCCCCAUCGGCCUGGACCCUUGAUGCAUUGCUUCUGGCGGCCCGUUAACGGCCACCCCGUCCCCGCUCGGUCUGGCGAGAGCGUUCUUCCCGCCCGUGCGUCAUUUCAUUGUGGGCGGAGACGCGGACAUACAGACCUUUGUGGUGCUGCCCCCCACGCCCCCUUUCUCCCGAGAAGACCACACAGUCCAGCCACUGUCCAACCCUGUCACCGUCCCCACGUGGCUCAUUCCUGACACCCACCCGAGUCCCUCUGGGCCGCAGCAGAAUCCAAACCAUUGUCUGCAUGCAGCGCUGCACCAGUUAGGACCAGUUAGCCGAAAACACUGGUGUCAUUAUCUACCAGUGCCUUGACAUGACAAUAACAGUGUUUCACCAAGAACAUACUGUAGCAUGGCUGCGUUAGCAUCUAGCCGUUACAAGGUGCUACAUGAAGUGUGUAGCUUUUAACAUGAACGUAUUAGCAUGUCGAUUGUAGCUUUUAGCAUGUGGCUUUUAGCAUGUAGUAUGUAGCUUUUAGCAUGUAGUAUGUAGCUUUUAGCAUGUAAUGUGUGGCUUUUAGCAUGUAAUAUGUGGCUUUUAGCAUGUAGUAUGUAGCUUUUAGCAUGUAGUAUGUAGCUUUUAGCAUGUAGUAUGUAACUUUUAGCAUGUAAUAUGUAGCUUUUAGCAUGUAGUAUGUAACUUUUAGCAUGUAAUAUGUGGCUUUUAGCAUGUAGUAUGUAGCUUUUAGCAUGUAAUAUGUGGCUUUUAGCAUGUAGUGUGUGGCUUUUAGCAUGUAGUAUGUAGCUUUUAGCAUGUAAAAUGUGGCUUUUAGCAUGUAGUAUGUAGCUUUUAGCAUGUAAUAUUUGGCUUUUAGCAUGUAGUAUGUAGCUUUUAGCAUGUAGUAUGUAGCUUUUGGCUUUUAAAAUGUGGCUUUUAGCAUGUAAAAUGUGGCUUUUAGCAUGUAGUAUGUAGCUUUUAGCAUGUAGUAUGUAGCAAGUACAUUUUAGCGUGUAGUGUGUAGCUUUUAGCAUGUAGCUUUAAGCAUGUAGUGUGGACCUUAUCGUGUAGUAUGUACCCUUUAGCAUGUAGCAUGUAGCUUUUAUCAUGUAGUAUGUAACAUGUACCUUUUGAUCAUGUAGCAUGUCGCUUUAAGCUUGUAAUAUGUAGAAUGUAGCAUGUAGCUAUUAGAUUGUAGCUUCUAGCAUGAAGUUUAUAGCUUUUAACAUGUUAAUAGCGUGUAGGUUUGUGGCAUGUGGCAAAUAGUAUAUAUUAUGUAGCAUGUAGUUUUUAGCAUGCAGUACAUAGUAUGUAGCUUCGAAGCUUUUAGCAUGUAGUGUGUUGCUUUUUGCAUGUUAUUAGCAUGUCGGUUUGAGCAUGUGACAUGUGGUUUUUAUAAUGAAGUAUCUAGCUUUCAGUAUGUAGUGUAUAGUAUGUAGCAUGUAGUGUUUAGCAUGUAGUGUCUAUCUUUUAGCAUGUCGUAUAUAGCAUGUAGCAUUUUGUGGCUAGCUUUUAUUAUGUCGUAUGUAGUGGCUAUCUUUUAGCAUGUAGUAUAUAGUAUGUAGCAUGUAGCAUUUAGCAUGUAGUGGCUAACUUUUACUAUGUCGUAUGUAGUGGCUAUCUUUUAGCGUGUAACUUUUAGCAUGUAGUAUAUAGUAGGCAGCAUGUAGUGUCUAGCUUUUAGCAUGUCGUAUACAGCAUGAAGCAUUUAGCAUGUAGUGGCUAGCUUUUAGCAUGUAACUUUUAGCAUGUAGUAUGUAGCAUGUAGUGUUUAGCAUGUAGUAUCUAGCGUUUAGCAUGUCGUAUGUGGCAUGCAGUAUUUAGCAUGUGGUGGCUAUCUUUUAGCAUGGAAUAUGUAGUGGCUAGCUUUUUAUGUUGCUUUUAGCAUGUAGCGUGUAGAACAGUAAGGAAGUUGAGUCAAGUAGAUCACGUUCUAGCUUCACGUUCUACAGCGUAAAAGAGAUGAAGAGGUGGUGUGCCUGAAAUAAACAUGCUGU